AUUGGUAAUAUUCCUUGGUUUCAUCCUGCUGUUUCUCGCCUACCCGACUCUCGCUGUCUCCUCUAAUUGGACGUUUGUCCAGCCUUUCCUUCCUAAACACCUACCCGCCUCCUACCGCACACGCACCCGCUAUGUAAGGCUGCUCCUCUGGGAGGCAGCGCCACAGCACAGGUGUUUUCUCGUUGGAGAAGGAUCAAAUGAGUGGAAGGCAUUAACAUCAGCAGCUGGGGUUCCGCAAUAAGCUAGGCUGAAGUCUUAACCCUCAGCAGCGGUGGAUGAGAACUUAGCAUGAAAUCAGUUCUUUGUAGAUGUAAUCAACUUAAGAUGAGGUCCUUAGGGUGGCCCCUACUGCAAUAUGACUCUUGUCUUAUAAGAAGAGGAAAGUGCCCUGUGAAGCCAGAGACACACAGGGAGAACGUCAUGUGAUGACAGAGGCGGGGGCUGGAAUGAUGCCGCUGCAAGGCAGGAGAUGCUAAGGAUUGACGGCUUCUUCCAGGAUCUAGGAAGAAACAAGGCAGGAUUCUUCCCUACAGCUUCAGAGGGAGUGUGGCCCUGCCAACACUUUGAUCCAGGCGCCUGGCCUCCAGAAGUGUGAGCCGGCUGUCAACAUUCUGCUUUAUAACAGAUUCUUGUGUAGACCCAUCAGGAAACAGAAAUCCUUGUCUACCUAUGAACAGUUGUGCUGUUGCUUUCUGAGAUUUCUUAAAUGCCAUCCACCUUUAAGAGGUGGUGUUGAAGGAGCGGAAGAUGCCUGGUUCCUUUCGUCUGUUGUGUGUCUGGGAGGCCUUGUUGACGUGGGAGUGCAAAGACUGACUUCCUUGGCAGAUGGAGACCCAAGGUGCUGAGCUUGCUGUCUCCAACGUCAGCCAACCAGCUAGUGGGAGGGAAAAGGUGAUACCUAAGGAAUUUCUUCCAUCUUCCAUAUAAGGACAAAUGUUAAUGGUGCUUAAAUAAAUGACUCUAUGUCGCUCCAAAAGGAAUUUAAAAUUACAUAGAAAUGAAUAAGCUUUCCAUUUACACUGAAAUGGGGGAAGUUUCUGUGCCUUUAAAUUGAAAAUUUAGAAAAUUAUCGAGUUAUGUAAUACGUUUUAUGUGUUAUUUGUCAGUUGGUGAGGGAAAAUGCCAGUUAAAUAAAUUAGUUUGAAUGACCCAUAGUUUAUCCUUUUGUAAAAUUUUUUUCUUUUCUUACAUUUCCCUUUCCUACGUCUGUUAGCAGGUUUUAUGGAGCCCAUGACUUUCUCCCACCCUUUUAAUAAUACUGUUUUUGAAAUAAAGAGCAAGAGAAAGCAAGUAGGAAUUCCCUUUUCAGAUGCUAAUUUCUUUCUGCCUCUAUUUAAUCAGUGGUCUGCUGGUUUGUUAACUUC
rnacentral:lncRNA from 1 species